UGAUGUUCAUCUUCUCCUUCUAAUUCAACUCCUGUAAUCCAUCUGGUGGUUCACUCUAUCAACAAACCCUAAUGAAUCCACCCAUAAAUAACAUGCCAAUCAAUCCGUUCUUUUAAUUUCUUCACUCCUUUUUCAAACCCUAAAAACUCUGGUGGCACAUACCUGCACUGUGAUUCUUUCUAACCCUAACGGAGGCAAGAAACAGAUCCAACAAUGGAGAAGUACAUAGUACGAUAGCAUUUCCGUGGCACUUCAACCGCCUCUUCCUCUCACUGUCAUGGUCGUCAUCUCUCCUAUAGACGCCAUUGAAUCGAGGAUAAAUCACUGACAUCAGAAGAAACGGAAUUUGAUUUAAUCGUCUGUGGCUGAGGCCUGAGGAUUUGUUACGGCGGAGGUAGCGUGUUGUGGGCAUGAACAAUACAAUGAAAUUGGAGUAUCCAAAUCGGUUUGAAUUUGUGUCCAAGCAGAGAUAUAUACGCGUUCUGGGAUCCUUUUUGUUUAUGUUGAUGCGGCCAAAUUCGUGUUAACUUGGCCGAGUCCAUGUAUAUAUACGCUGCAACAUCAUCUAAUCGUCAUUUAAGGGUUGUGGAGUUAAACCUUGGAUCACUUCAUUCAUAAAUUCAUGUUAACUUGGCCGAGUCCAUGAUAACCGCGUCUCCUUAGAAUCCGACGACCAGGAUGACAAAUCCGGGAUUGAACAUUCAAGAAGCACAUGCUUUUUCCUCGGCUGGUGGCUUCUUAUUGGAUGUAUUUGUUGUUGAUGGCCUCAUGAGGUCUAAUCUUAGUUGUCUUGAGCAAUGUGUUUGAAUUUUGAAAACAUUGGUACAAUGAUCUGUUAUUGGCAACUUUUAGGAAAUUGAAAAGCUCAAAAAUGCAAUAGAGAAUGAUAUAUUGAAGGCUAGGUAGUUUCUUUCUAACAUAUUUUGGUGUUUUGUACGCUACAUUUAAUUUAUGUAAUAUACAUCUUCUAUGCAGGGGAGGCUCAUAGUGGUAAAAAUUCUUCAUCCACUAAAUGCAGAAGUAUUCCAACAUCAAGUGACCUUGUGCCCUCAAAUGAUUAUGUAAAAGUACCUACUUAUGGAACUGAGGUAUUGGAAAUUGAUGCCAAGCUGCUGAAAUUCUUAUAGAGGGAUGUUGAAUAAACGAUACUGGUAACAUCGUUUUAAUAUGAUAAAUAUUUAGAGAUUAUGAUUAUUUGUAU
rnacentral:lncRNA from 1 species